GAUGAACGCUGGCGGCGUGCCUAAUACAUGCAAGUCGAGCGAACGGACGAGAAGCUUGCUUCUCUGAUGUUAGCGGCGGACGGGUGAGUAACACGUGGAUAACCUACCUAUAAGACUGGGAUAACUUCGGGAAACCGGAGCUAAUACCGGAUAAUAUUUUGAACCGCAUGGUUCAAAAGUGAAAGACGGUCUUGCUGUCACUUAUAGAUGGAUCCGCGCUGCAUUAGCUAGUUGGUAAGGUAACGGCUUACCAAGGCAACGAUGCAUAGCCGACCUGAGAGGGUGAUCGGCCAAACGGGAACUGGGACACGGUCCAGACUCCUACGGGCGGCAGAAGUAGGGAAUCUUCCGCAAUGGGGGAAAGCCUGACGGGGCAACGCCGCGUGAGUGAUGAAGGUCUUCGGAUCGUAAAACUCUUUUAUUAGGGAAGAACAUUUGUGUAAGUAACUGUGCACAUCUUGACGGUACCUAAUCAGAAAGCCCCGGCGAACUAC
rnacentral:rRNA from 1 species